rnacentral:tRNA from 1 species
ACCAGGAUAUCUGAGUGGUUAAGGUGUUGGACUUAAGCUCCAAUAGAUAUUUGUCUGUGUGGGCUCAAACCCCACUCCUAGUA